rnacentral:rRNA from 1 species
UACGGGGGGUGCAAGCGUUAAUCGGAAUUACUGGGCGUAAAGCGUACGUAGGCGGCUUGUUAAGCAAGAUGUGAAAUCCCCGGGCUCAACCUGGGAAUGGCAUUUUGAACUGGCAGGCUCGAGUUCUGAAGAGGGUGGUAGAAUUUCCAGUGUAGCGGUGAAAUGCGUAGAUAUUGGAAGGAAUACCGGUGGCGAAGGCGGCCACCUGGUCAGAAACUGACGCUGAGGUACGAAAGCGUGGGGAGCAAACAGG